GCUGAAGAGAGACAGAUGCCAAACUCAGUCGUGAUUCAAACGCACUUCUUGCUUAGAUUUAGAACAUUCUCUAUGCUUAAUAAUAUUUGACCCAUUUUUCCGACACGCCCACUGUGAAUGAUAAUGGUGGAGUGCAAAUUUCCCUAGCCACUUCCUUGGAAGAGCAUGCACUCAGUCUGCAAUUCCGAGGGAGAGUUACAAAACACCAGGCUAAGGGCACGAAGAAAACGCGGGGAUUGAAGGCUCUUAUAUAAGGGAGUCAGCCCCAACACCCGGCCCUCCACUGGAAAAAUGAGACUGAAUGAUGCUCUGUCAAUGGUGGGGUAGAGGAGAUUCCUGCAUGUCAGGAGCUUGCGCUUGACAGCCUGGAAGCUUUCUUCUACCUCUAGGUUUUCCAGAUUAGAAAUGUACUUACCUGUUACGACCAUAGCAGCCCCUCCUUGGCUGUGGAUGCACCUAACUUUCCCCUGGGUGAGAUGAACCUUCUGCCUCCCACGACGUGCAGACUUGAGAGUGACCGGCAGCCUUUCACUGUCAUCCUUGCAGCCGCUCCCCUCAAACCUCCAUCCUCCCUAAACCUGUCUUGCUCACCUUCAGUUCCCGUGGUCCCUGGGAGUUUCCACUUGACCACAUCAUCCUGCUACCUUCUCACCUGCUCCCCAAAUUCCUUCUUACCUUCCCUCCACCUCUUUCCCAUACAUCCUUUUAGCCCACUCGUACUCGACUAGCACAUUCACUCGAAUUCUUCUCUCACAUUCUUUUCCUUUUUAUAAACUUCCCUAUCACGUGCAAGCCAAGUCAACCUCGUGUCUUGCACUCUCCUCUCCACGUGCACUCUCUGGUGGACUUUUGUAUGCUCUCAGAGCAUUUUCUCAUUAGCUUGCACUGCUCUUCCUAACUGUUCAAUCCCAUCUCUCUAAUCCCUAAGCAUUCCUCUUAUGUAUUGGAAGAAUAUUGGUCUUCAUAACUGUUUUCUGACUUUUUCCCUUUUCAUAUUCAUCUCGUCCCAUCAGCUUUCUCACCUCCCUAGGGUUAGGGUUAGGGUUAGGGUUAGGGUCCUCCUCACUUCUUCGUUUCCCUCCCGGCCUGUUCUUUCUUACCUUAGACCCUCAGGUCCCUUCCCCCCAUCUCCAGAUCUGUGCCUUAUCUUUUUCUCUGCUAACUACACUUAUUUUAUGAUAGAUUUUCUUCUAUGGCUAUUUUCCUCUUCCAUCUCCCAGUGGAUGUGUUGCUACUUCUCAAACCGUCUCUACCCUCCAUUCAUCUUUCUGGUCCUUUUCAGAUUCAUCUCUCUGGCACCACCCCACUUUCCGUUUUUAUAAAAAUUGGUUGUUUACCCUCCUCUCACUCUCCCUUUAGCCCUUAAUACACUAAGGCAGAAUC